rnacentral:rRNA from 1 species
AGAGUUUGAUCCUGGCUCAGGACGAACGCUGGCGGCGUGCUUAACACAUGCAAGUCGAACGAUGAUGCCCAGCUUGCUGGGCGGAUUAGUGGCGAACGGGUGAGUAAUACGUGAGUAACCUGCCCUUGACUCUGGGAUAAGCCUGGGAAACUGGGUCUAAUACUGGAUACUACCUCUUACCGCAUGGUGGGUGGUGGAAAGGGUUUUACUGGUUUUGGAUGGGCUCACGGCCUAUCAGCUUGUUGGUGGGGUAAUGGCUCACCAAGGCGACGACGGGUAGCCGGCCUGAGAGGGUGACCGGCCACACUGGGACUGAGACACGGCCCAGACUCCUACGGGAGGCAGCAGUGGGGAAUAUUGCACAAUGGGCGGAAGCCUGAUGCAGCGACGCCGCGUGAGGGAUGACGGCCUUCGGGUUGUAAACCUCUUUCAGUAGGGAAGAAGCGAGAGUGACGGUACCUGCAGAAGAAGCGCCGGCUAACUACGUGCCAGCAGCCGCGGUAAUACGUAGGGCGCAAGCGUUGUCCGGAAUUAUUGGGCGUAAAGAGCUCGUAGGCGGUUUGUCGCGUCUGCUGUGAAAGCCCGGGGCUCAACCCCGGGUCUGCAGUGGGUACGGGCAGACUAGAGUGCAGUAGGGGAGACUGGAAUUCCUGGUGUAGCGGUGAAAUGCGCAGAUAUCAGGAGGAACACCGAUGGCGAAGGCAGGUCUCUGGGCUGUUACUGACGCUGAGGAGCGAAAGCAUGGGGAGCGAACAGGAUUAGAUACCCUGGUAGUCCAUGCCGUAAACGUUGGGCACUAGGUGUGGGGGACAUUCCACGUUUUCCGCGCCGUAGCUAACGCAUUAAGUGCCCCGCCUGGGGAGUACGGCCGCAAGGCUAAAACUCAAAGGAAUUGACGGGGGCCCGCACAAGCGGCGGAGCAUGCGGAUUAAUUCGAUGCAACGCGAAGAACCUUACCAAGGCUUGACAUUCACCGGACCGCCCCAGAGAUGGGGUUUCCCUUCGGGGCUGGUGGACAGGUGGUGCAUGGUUGUCGUCAGCUCGUGUCGUGAGAUGUUGGGUUAAGUCCCGCAACGAGCGCAACCCUCGUUCUAUGUUGCCAGCACGUGAUGGUGGGGACUCAUAGGAGACUGCCGGGGUCAACUCGGAGGAAGGUGGGGAUGACGUCAAAUCAUCAUGCCCCUUAUGUCUUGGGCUUCACGCAUGCUACAAUGGCCGGUACAAAGGGUUGCGAUACUGUGAGGUGGAGCUAAUCCCAAAAAGCCGGUCUCAGUUCGGAUUGAGGUCUGCAACUCGACCUCAUGAAGUCGGAGUCGCUAGUAAUCGCAGAUCAGCAACGCUGCGGUGAAUACGUUCCCGGGCCUUGUACACACCGCCCGUCAAGUCACGAAAGUUGGUAACACCCGAAGCCGGUGGCCUAACCCCUUGUGGGAGGGAGCCGUCGAAGGUGGGACUGGCGAUUGGGACUAAGUCGUAACAAGGUAGCCGUACCGGAAGGUGCGGCUGGAUCACCU